AUCCUGGAGCCUCAGAUGCGCGGCAGAUGUAACUGCUCAAGCUCUGCGCGACUGGGGAACACGGGAAUCCUUGUAGGGAAUCUUUACAGAAAUUCCACAGCCCCCUUUGCCGAGAGGGAUCAAAAAGGGUUUUACUACACUCGAGUAUCUCCAACCACCACAACUUCCACUGCAACUUCCAAAGGCGCUGCUCGGAACAGGGCCCAUAAAUACUUCAUCCCAGAGAAAACGAGCAGGGCGGGACUCUCAGCUGAGUCGAGGGCUAAAAAUUAAAUAUUCCCCAGCAGCGAGCGGGGGAAGCCCGCUCAGGAGUAACGUGGUGCAGCUGACCUUGCGCGACUCGGGGCUCCUGACACCACCAGCUAACGAAACAAAACAAUACGCGCGGUCACGAGACCACUGCGGACGAGGAGCAAAAAAGAACAAAAUGAAGAAAAAAAAUCCAUUUCACCAAGUCAGCGUGUCAGCAGUUUCGAGUCCCAGUUUUCAAGGCUUCCCAACUCAGGCUGAGUUUUGCCCCAAAUCAAGGUUUGGGGCGGCUGGCUCCGGCCUGGAGCCAAGGGGGGCAGUGACCCAAAUUUUGGGGGGUGAGGAGGACGUGGGAAGGAGGUGAGGAGCCAAGAGGAAGGGGGUGUCGGGGGGCAGUGUGUGGGGAGCCCCCCUGCUACCUGUGGGGCUCCUGGGCAGGAGGGAGCUGCCCCAGGGCCCCCAAGCUCCCUGCUGAUGGAAGUGAAGAUUUCAAGGAGUAUGUGUAUGGAGGGGGGGACGUAAAAAAACACAAAAAAAACACUAAAAAAAAAUAAUCAAACCAAAACAACCCCCCCCCCCACGCACAUGGCACCGCGACUCCUCAUCCCACCCCGCGCUGCCUCGCGACCCGCCGCACCCCCGGCCGCUUUUAUUUUUAUUUUUAUUUAUUUAUGAGCAGAACGGGCGGUGUGUCUGUGUGUGUUGGGGGGGGUGAGGUCGUGCUUUAGCGGGAGGAGGCCUCUCCAUGAGGGGGCUGAGGGGUUCCCCCAACAUCGGGCUCCUCACGGGGCUGCGGCUGGAGGCUGAGGAGGUGAGGAGGGAAGGAGGGAGGGAAGGGGGCUGAGGAGAGAAGGAGGCUGAAGAGGGAAGGAGGCUGAGGAGAGGAGGCUGAGGAGGGAGGGAGGCCGCCGCCCUGCGCUUUCCGUGACUCAUUGAUUUGCACGCUCAUCACUUUUCCACACGGGGCGGCCUCCCCCCCCCCUCACCCCCUUCACCCCCUUCUUCAUCCCCUUCAUCCCCAACCGCCUCCUCGCUCCCUUUCUUUAUUUUUAUUUAUUUUUUUUUUCCUCUCCCUUCCCCUCCCCGCACAGCCCCGGGGCCGGCCCCACACGUGCCCGGCGCUGCCGGCGGCCCCGCGGCUCCCUCAGCCGCGCCGGCUCCAACAUGGCGGACAGGAAGCGGCCCCAGCGCGGCGGAGAAGCUUCCAGCCGGGCCGGGGGAGGAGGAGGAGGAGGAUGAAGAGGAGGAUGAAGAGCAAAGAGGAGAACGACCAGGAGCAAGGAGGAGGAUGAGGAAAGCCCCGCCGCCACCCCGCGAAGGUCACCAGCCCCGUCCACGACCUCCCCCCCCCCCCCAUAUUCCCCUCAGCCCCGGACCUGUUCUCCGCUUCGGCGCCUCCUGGUGCUUGUGGAGCGGCUUGGGCUGGGCUCGGCCGUCGGGCGGCGGCAGGCCGUGCAGGCUCCGGCGGCUGGGACGCGGCUUGGCGCUGGGGGGGAGGCGGCGGAGGACUGGCAGCGACCGCCCCCCGCCCCGCGCCCCGCCCCGACCGGCGGAAAGGGAAGGGAAAAACCCUGGGGGGGGAGUCAAAAAAUAUGGAGGGGAGAGGCCGGCCCCACGGCUCGGGGCGGUGCUGCCUCCCCCGAGCUGCUGGGUGCGGGAUUUGGGAGCGGGGGUGGGGUGGGGAGCGGCCCCAAAGGGGGGCUGGGGGGAGUGGGGGGGGGCUGGAGGGAAAAGGGGGUCCCACAAACGGGUGCUCGCAGCCUUCACGAGGAUGUGGUGAGGAGGAGGAGGGGUCUGGAGCUUCUGCUGGGGGGUUCCUCGGGGGUCCCAAGCCCGCUGGAGCGUCCCCGGUGUGGCAGGGCUGGGGGCUGGUUCAGCGGAGCCCCCCCGGGUGGCAGAGAGGGGUCGGGCUGCAGGGGGGGUUUAAGGGGUAAGGAGAGGGUUGGGGGACACUAAAAUGUGUUGGCUGGGGUCACAGCCCUGUGUGUGGGGGGCUCAGGGUGAUGAAAUAGCUGCAGGUGGUGGUGGUGUGCCCUACAGCAACCGGGGGGGUGAGCGGUAAAAGAAAAUCAUGUAAUUAAAGACUUAUAAUAGCCACAAAAUGAAUAAACAGGGUGCAUAGCCCAUCCUUAAAAUAGGAUUGUGUUUAAAAUAGGAUUGCGUAGCUUCUCAGGGCUUGUAGUUGUAGCCUUAAUACCUGUGUGUUAUUUUAAGAAAUUAAAAUAAUAAAGCUUCUCUGUCCAGAAAGCCCGAUCAGGCUUUAUUUCUGCUCUGCAGGACAUCACACAAAACACAGAGCCCUUCCCUUAGUUUUAUUUCAUCAGAAUACGAUCGAAAGCAUAUGCCUCCAGCACAGCUUCCCCCUCCCUGUUCUUUAACACGUACAAAGUAAAACCCUCCCUACCACAAAUCCAACUUCUGCAUUAACACCGAGGGCUCCUUUUCAAGGUUGGAGGUGCCUGAAAGAGGAGUUCUGUGCCCAAGAGGCCCUACAGUUUGCAUUUCUUCCAGCACACUGCAAAGCAAUUUAAGGCGCAGUGAAAGCGUUUAAAGGAUGACUGCGAACGGGAGGCUCUGCCCCUGCUCCCCGGAGUAACGGUGCUGGCAGCCGCUGACUCAGAGCGACCUCACGGCGCUGAGGAGACAACUCUCGAACCCAGGAGUCAGGCUUUAAUCACAGUUGACAUUUUAUUGGUGGCUUGGAAGAAUUUAUUUUUAAUAUAGGGAACUGGCUUGAAGACAGGCUUCAAAAGACUCCGGAGAAAGCAAACAAUUACGGACAAAUCAGCUGCACACACAGACAGCAGAAAUCUAAAUACAAAGGGCAGCGUGUUGCACGUACAUGAAAGGUGAAGCAAGUCUUCUGUUUCUUAGAAGCGCUGUGUUGUCAGUUUUACAUUAACCAUCUAAAGCUGGAAAAAAAAAUAAAGUAAAUUAAAAAAAAAAAAAAAAACAGA